GGGGUAUAGCUCAGCUGGGAGAGCAUCUGCCUUACAAGCAGAGGGUCAUAGGUUCGAGCCCUAUUGCCCCC
rnacentral:tRNA from 1 species